AAAAGGGUAUUUGGAGAAUGCCUUGGCAUCAGAAGGCGAUGAAGGAAGUGGAAGACUGCUGUAAGCUCCGGGGAGUUGUCAAUCAAGCAUUGAUCCGGAGAUUUCCGAAUGGGAAAACCUGUUUAGGUUAAAUUCUAAACAUUUUUACUUGAAUCUAUAAAGUAAAAAAGCCAACGGCGUGAACUGAAACAUCUAAGUAGCGCUAGGAAAAGAAAACGAAUGUGAUUCCCUAAGUAGUGGUGAGCGAACUGGGAACAGCUGAAAACUUAUUUUGUGUAAGCUUGCAUGCGUUGCAAAGUAAGGGAAGUGGGAUUUAAUGUCUAAUUAAUGCAAUGAUUAGGUUGUUUUGAUCAAAUUAGUUGAAUGCUCUGGAACGGGCAACCAUAGAAAGUUGUAGUCUUGUAAACGAAAAUUUGAUUUGAAAUGAUAUUUAUUCUCCCAAGUACCAUGGAGCACGUGAAAUUCCGUGGGAAUCUGCCCCGACCAUGGGGUAAAGCUAAAUACUCUCUGAUGACCGAUAGUGAACUAGUACCGUGAGGGAAAGGUGAAAAGAACCCCGGGAGGGGAGUGAAAUAGAAACUGAAACCAAAUAUCUAUAAGCGGUGGAAGCGAUAUAUAAGUAUGCGCGACCACGUACCUUUUGCAUAAUGGGCCAACGAGUUACUCCUACAUUGCGAGGUUAAGUUUUGAAAGAACGGAGCCGUAGCGAAAGCAAGUCUUAAUAGGGCGAUUAGUAGUGUGGGGUAGACCCGAAACCUAGUGAGCUAUCCAUGGACAGGUUGAAAUCUUGGUAACACAAGAUGGAGGACCGAACCGGUGUGGGUUGAAAACUGCUCGGAUGAUCUGUGGAUAGGAGUGAAAGGCUAAUCAAACUAGGAAAUAGCUGGUUCUUCUCGAAAUAUAUUUAGGUAUAGCCUUGUUGGAUUUGUUGUGGCGGUAAAGCGACAGUUUUGGCUAGGGGGCGUAAGCCUACCAAACUUUUACUAACUCUGAAUGCCAUGAUUUUAGAAGACAGGAGUCAGACCCCGGGGGAUAAGCUCAGGGGUCAAAAGGGAAACAGCCCAGACCAUCAGCUAAGGUCCCAAAGUGUUCGCUAAGUGGCAAAAGAUGUGAAAAUACUUAGACAGCCAGGAUGUUGGCUUAGAAGCAGCCAUCAUUUAAAGAAAGCGUAAUAGCUCACUGGUCAAGUAUUUUUGCGCUAAAGUAUAAGCGGGGCUCAAGCGAACCACCGAAGCUAUGGAUCACAUUGAUAAAAUGUGGUGGUAGAGAAGCGUUCUUUAAUAGAUACGAGCUUGAUUGUAAAAACAGGUGACGUUGAUUAAAGAAGUGAGUAUGUUGGCAUAAGUAACGAAAAAACAGGUGAAAUUCCUGUUCGCCGAAAACCCAAGGUUUCCGUGAGAAAGGUUUAUCCACUCAGGGUUAGUCGAUCCCUAAGCCGAGGCCAAUUGGAGUAGGUGAUGGAAAACAGGUUAAAUAUUCCUGUACCACUUUUUAGUGUUUGAGCAACGGGAUGACGCAGUAAGAUAGAUUGACUUGGCUUUUGGAUUGCCAAGCUAAGCAUUUAGAAGGAUUUUGUAGGUAAAUCCGCAAAAUCGUUAUCUUUGAGGUGUGAUGGGCAUAUCAAUCUAAUCGAAAGAUAUGUUCGAUUGAUUCUACACUGACUAGAAAAAUCUCUAGCGAAUUAAAAAGUGAUCGUACCGUAAACCGACACAGGUGGGUGAGCAGAGAAUGCUAAGGCGUUGAGAUAACUGUCAUUAAGGAACUCGGCAAAAUAACCCCGUAACUUCGGGAAAAGGGGUACCAAUCUGGUUAGUUUGUUUUACAAGCGAAGCUGGUAUUGGUUUCAACAAAGAGGCCCAGGCGACUGUUUAACAAAAACACAGGGCCAUGCAAACUCGUAAGAGGAAGUAUAUGGUCUGACGCCUGCCCAGUGCUGGAAGGUUAACAGGAGGAGUCAGUCAUUCGUGGCGAAGCUCUGAAUCGAAGCCCCAGUAAACGGCGGCCGUAACUAUAACGGUCCUAAGGUAGCGAAGUCCCUUGUCGGGUAAAUUCCGACCCGCAUGAAUGGCGUAACGAUUUGGGCGCUGUCUUAAUGAUAGACUCAGUGAAAUUGUAGUAUCGGUGAAAAUGCCGGUUACCCGCGAUAGGACGGAAAGACCCUGUGCACCUUUACUGCAACUUGACAUUGAUUUUUGGUUUAGUCUGUGUAGCAUAGGCGGGAGACUUUGAUGCUAUGGCGCUAGCUGUAGCGGAGUCAUCAUUGAAAUACCGCCCUGAAUGAUUCGAAAAUCUAACUUCUAUCCGUGAUCCGGAAGAAGGACAUUGUCUGGUGGGCAGUUUGACUGGGGUGGUCGCCUCCCAAAAUGUAACGGAGGCGUUCAAAGGUUCCCUCAUGGCGAAUAGAAAUCGUCAUAUAGAGUGUAAAAGCAGAAGGGAGCUUGACUGCGAGACAUACAGGUCGAGCAGGUGCGAAAGCAGGAUUUAGUGAUCUGGUGGUACCAUAUGGAAGGGCCAUCAGGUUUGGCACCUCGAUGUCGGCUCAUCGCAUCCUGGGGCUGGAGAAGGUCCCAAGGGUUUGGCUGUUCGCCAAUUAAAGCGGUACGCGAGCUGGGUUCAGAACGUCGCAAGACAGUUCGGUCCUUAUCCAUCGUGGGCGUAGGGUAUUUGCGAGGAUUUGUCUCUAGUACGAGAGGACCGAGAUGAACAAACCUCUGGUGUUCCAAUUGUUUACCAAAAGCAACGUUGGGUAGCCAAGUUUGGAUGGGAUAACCGCUGAAAGCAUCUAAGUGGGAAACCCACCUCAAGAUUAGAUACCCCGUUAAUUAGAUUUAUUUGAGCUUCGGUUUGAGUAAUGAAAAUUAACAUGUAAGAUCCCUUGAAGACUACAAGGUUGAUAGGCUGGGUGUGUAAGUACAGUAAUGUAUUGAGCUAACCAGUACUAAUAGAUCGAGGGUUUUGU
rnacentral:rRNA from 1 species